rnacentral:misc_RNA from 1 species
CCCCACGCACAAGCGUAGCGGGAAGAAGAGGCGCGAUCGCUGCAACGAAAAAGAAUUGAAGUGCGCGCAGGUUCACAAGUAAGCAAAUUGGCGACGAUGUCGUGCGCUGACAACCUUCGGUCUGUCUUAUCGUAUUCAGCCUGUCCGUUGACCCGCCGGACGAUUGUGGCAUGUGCGAGGAUAUCGAUCAUUUUCAUUUGUGGUUUGGCUGGGGGCUGCGAUCGCAUGGGGGGCUCGCGCUCCUCGCAGUUGACGCAGGACGCAGACAGCAAAUCAGAUCAGGGAGAUUUUGCGCGCGCGAUCGACUUGUACGAAGCCGCGCUCGACGAUUCCGAAAACAUUCGAAACGCCGAGAUUCACUACAAACUGGC